AGUAAGUACGAAUCGGCCUUAGGUUCCCUGCCUCAAGACCCUAUUCUCCUGCCUCACUUUUAGCUAAGGGUUAUUACAAAAGAGUCAGAAAGUUAAGACAAAAUAUGAAAGUUUAUAAAGUAAAAAGAGUUACAGUGAGCUAAGUAUAACUUAUUGAAAACAUUUUUUUAAUUUAGUAUAGCCUAACUGUGUUUAUACAGUCUACAGUAGUAUACAGUAAUAUCCUAGACCUCCACAUUCCCUCGCCACUCACUCACUCACUCACCGACUCACUCAGAGCAACAUCCAGUCCUGGAAGCUCCAUUCACAGAAGCUAUUGGAAGAGAUGCUCAAAGAAGAAAAAAUUACCAUAAUCCAAUAAAGAAGAAGACCUGAGAUCCAGGAAGCAGAUGAUCUGAACUGCAGAGAAAGUUCAGGAAAGUUCCCUCAUUCAUGAUGAUGGGAAAUAACAGUAAAUUCUGUACAGCAGUCUUGGACAACAACCAAUCUAAACUGGCACAGUGCAGAGGCAAUCAACAGAGAACAUAAUAUUGAUAGAAUGCCUGACGCUUUUGAUUGUAUUCACAGGAAACAUAAACAAUUGGAAGACAGUUUAUGAAUGAAUUAGUGAUAAGCAUUUUUUUUCAACUUUUAUUUUAGAUUCAAGGGUACAUGUGCAGGUUUGGUGCCUGGGUAUACUGGGUGAUGCUGAGGUUUGUGUUACAAAUGAUCCCAUCAUCCAGGUACUGAGCAUGGUAUCCAGUAGUUAGUUUUUAACCCUUCUCCUGUCUCUCUCCUGGUGGUCCCCAGUUUCUACUGUUGCCAUCUUUAUGUCCAUGAGUAUACAAUGUUUAGCUCCCACUUGUGAGAACAUGCGUAUUUGCCUAUUUAAUUAUUUGUUUAUUUGUUGAGACAUAGUUUCACUCUCUAGCCCGAUCUUGGCUCACUGCAACCUACGCUUCCUGUGUUCAAGCGAUUCUCUUGCCUCGGCCUCCCCAGUAGCUGAGAUUACAGGCACCUACUACCAUGCCUGACUAAUUUUUGUAUUUUAAUAGAGAUAGGGUUGCACCCUGUUGGCCAGGCUGGUUUCAAAUUCCUGAUCUCAAGCGAUCCACUCACCUUGGCCUCCCAAACGGCUGGGAUUACAGGCUUGAGCCACCACGCCCAGCCACUAUUUGCUUUUCUAUUCCUGCAUUAAUUUGCUUAGGAUAAUAGCCCUCAACUUCAUCCAUUUUGCUGCAAAGAAAAUAAUUUUGUUCUUUUUUAGGGCUGCAUAGUAUUCCAUGGUGUAUAUGUACCACAUUUGUUUUAUUUAAUCCACUGUUGAUGGACACCUGGGUUUAUUCUAUGCCUUUGCUACUACAAAUAGGGCUGUGAUGAACAUGCAAAGGCAUGUGUCUCCUUGAGAUAAAUAUUUUAAAAAUACAAUAAAAUCAAAAAAAUUAAUGUCAGGGCUAACAUACAGUUAUUAGAAAAAAAAAUAUUUUGUUAUUAUAGAUAGACACUAGCUUUAACAUAAUAAUAGUUAUGUAAGUAGUCGAAGUUCAUAUGAUCAAAAUUAUUAUUUAGCUGUUUUAAAAGAAUGCAGAUAUAAGAGAUAUACCAUUAAUGGUGAAUAGUUCCAGUAAAAGCAAGCUAAGCUCUCUUUCACAUUCCAUAGAGGGAAUUUAAUAAGCCCUGAAACCGAAAGUUCAAGAAGGAAAAGUGCAAGUCCUACAUGAAUUGAUCAAUGAUUGCCUCUGGAAAUUAUUGGUGUGAAUGGGGAGGCAAAAUUGCUAGUUUGGUUAAUAAGCUAUGUAACUGUUUGAUAAUUCUUCACUUGCAUGUAAACUUCGGUACAAAUAAAAGCUAAUGAAAACAGAGACAGAAUUAUUAAAUCAUCAUAACAUAAAGUUAACAUUUUUCAUCAUUUUUCACUUGUUCAAAGAUCAUAAGAAAUUUUCAUCUUAAUUUUCAAGCAUCAACUAAUGUUUCUACUCUCCCUGAGUACCAUAAAAAGCCUUCUGUGGACAGUCUAAGUGACAAUGACACAUUAGAUUUGGCAAAAAUUACUUUCAGAUGUAAAUCAAUUUGAGAAUGAACUGAUGCUCUGAAACCGGAAUUUACUUGUUGCUCAAAUUUGCCCCAAAAUAAAAUAAUUUUCAAUCAUAGGAGAAUUCACAGGGCCCAGCUCUCCAUUGGUGUUCCAAUCUAUUCUCUGACCUCUAUGCUGUACACAAGAAUCCUCAAUGGUUUUUCUGGAACCCAAGACAGAAAUAAUAUCCCAAAUGAUGCUUGCUCUAAGAGUAUCACUCACCCAGGGGGUUUACCCCCUGCAACUUUCCCUUUUACCAGUUUUGCUACAGAUUUUUAUGAACUUAGUUCCCCAGUCACCAGGGCCACAGAUGUUUGAAAUACUUUUCUGUCUUUUUUUUUAAGUGAUAAACAACUGAAUUCCUAUUCACUUUUACUCCACGAGUGACUUUACAAUACAUUAAAAAAAGAUAAACUGUCAGUAUUCUUUUCUUUAAAAACUGUAAAAUGCCUUUCCACUUAUUUCUUAUACUAUGUUGUCUCUCAGAUAAUACAUUGAUGCAAUUUUGGAUAAUGUUUUAAUGAAGAAGUUGACAGUAAUGCACAUUAAUUAAAAUAUGUAAAAAUCUA
rnacentral:lncRNA from 10 species